UUUAUUUUGUUCCUCCACAUUAAGGUAACUGCAAACAUAUUGCUGUGAGAGAAGAAAAGGUAAGUCUCCAGCUUUAGUCUGCAAUAACUUAAAGAAAUAGACCCAGG
ensembl:misc_RNA